AUGGCAUGCACGACUAGCUGGCAAUUAUUUUAUAUGUUCUGUCAUCUAGCUUACACAAACAGCAGAGCAUUAGUAGUUGACAUGCAAAAAUUAGCUCAUCCAAUUGAUUAAUUGUUGCACUUUCUUGAAUUUUUUAAUCUAAGAAGCAUUUUUUUUCCAUCAGAAAUGUUAAUCACCAGGACAUUCUGCUAAUUGUUAAUCUAAUUUUUUUUUGUUUUUCAGGACUUAUGAUGAACAUGCCCUGGUAGGCUAGUACUCUUCUAAUUCAUCGACCAGAGGACAUCCCUGACACUGCACUGCACAAAGUUGAUGCCGAUUCGCAAUGUUCCAAGGGAUUUAUGGUAAACACAGGAAGGGGUCUGAGGACACGAUGUCGAGUUGGAAUACAGGGUAACAGUCCUAUCCAAUGUUCAAUUGAAGUUGCAGCAAAUUUGAGUUGUGAUGAGGCUGUUCUUAGCCCUGUUAUUAGAGUGUUGCUUUUGAUGUUUUGAACUUAUUGAUGAAGUACUUUUCUGGCUGACAUAGAGCCCUCAGUGUAAGAUACCAGAGAUACAUCUAAAGCUAACCAGCAAUCAAAUUCAGGAAAAAAAACCAUUUCCAUUAGAUGUAUUCUCGUUUUGUAUGUUGGUUGGUUUACUUUAGUGGUCAAAUGCUGAGGUCUCAAGGAACAUUUGCUUCUGUUAUCUCCAUUGGAGAGACUGUAACUACUUGCAAUGAAAUUCUAACAAACAAGCUGAAAGGUUGUUGGCCAUGCCCAGUACAAAAUUUGGUUGGUUGUUGAGCUAACUUGUAUAUUUAAUGCAAGGAACUAUAUUACAUGUAUUACAUUAAAUUUUA